GGGCAUGUAGCUCAGAGGAUAGAGCGUCAGAUUCCGAUUCUGAUAGAGGAAGGUUCAAAUCCUUUCAUGCCUA
rnacentral:tRNA from 1 species